CAACCUGCCCAUCACUUGGGGAUAACCUUGCGAAAGUAAGACUAAUACCCAAUGACGUCUCUAGAAGACAUCUGAAAGGGAUUAAAGAUUUAUCGGUGAUGGAUGGGGAUGCGUCUGAUUAGCUUGUUGGCGGGGUAACGGCCCACCAAGGCGACGAUCAGUAGGGGUUCUGAGAGGAAGGUCCCCCACAUUGGAACUGAGACACGGUCCAAACUCCUACGGGAGGCAGCAGUGAGGAAUAUUGGUCAAUGGACGAGAGUCUGAACCAGCCAAGUAGCGUGCAGGAUGACGGCCCUAUGGGUUGUAAACUGCUUUUAUAAGGGAAUAAAGUGAGAGUCGUGACUCUUUUUGCAUGUACCUUAUGAAUAAGGACCGGCUAAUUCCGUGCCAGCAGCCGCGGUAAUACGGAAGGUCCGGGCGUUAUCCGGAUUUAUUGGGUUUAAAGGGAGCGUAGGCCGGAGAUUAAGCGUGUUGUGAAAUGUAGACGCUCAACGUCUGCACUGCAGCGCGAACUGGUUUCCUUGAGUACGCACAAAGUGGGCGGAAUUCGUGGUGUAGCGGUGAAAUGCUUAGAUAUCACGAAGAACUCCGAUUG
rnacentral:rRNA from 1 species